rnacentral:rRNA from 1 species
AGCGAACAUUGGCGGUAGGCUUAACACAUGCAAGUCGAGCGAGGCGUAAUAGUCGAGCGGCGAACGGGUGCGUAAUACAUGGGAAUCUACCCUGAAGUGGGGGAUAACGUUCAGAAAUGGACGCCAAUACCGCAUAAUCCACAUGGGAAAGCGUUGCAGCGCUUUAGGAUGAGCCCAUGGCUGAUUAGCUAGUUGGUGAGGUAAUGGCUCACCAAGGCGACGAUCAGUAGCUGGUCUGAGAGGAUGACCAGCAACCCUGGAACGUGGACGCGGUCCAGACUCCGAGGGGAGGCAGCAGUGGGGAAUCGUGCGCAAGGGGGCAACCCUGACGCAGCCAUACCGCGUGAGUGAUGAAGGUCUUCGGAUUGUAAAGCUCUUUCGGCGGGGACGACGAUGACGGUACCCGCAAAAGAAGUCACGGCUAACUUCGUGCCAGCAGCCGCCGUAA